AGUGAACGCUGGCGGUAGGCCUAACACAUGCAAGUCGAACGGCAGCACAGUAAGAGCUUGCUCUUACGGGUGGCGAGUGGCGGACGGGUGAGGAAUACAUCGGAAUCUACUUUUUCGUGGGGGAUAACGUAGGGAAACUUACGCUAAUACCGCAUACGACCUACGGGUGAAAGCAGGGGAUCUUCGGACCUUGCGCGAUUGAAUGAGCCGAUGUCGGAUUAGCUAGUUGGCGGGGUAAAGGCCCACCAAGGCGACGAUCCGUAGCUGGUCUGAGAGGAUGAUCAGCCACACUAGAACUGAGACACGGUCCAGACUCCUGCGGGAGGCAGCAGUGGGGAAUAUUGGACAAUGGGCGCAAGCCUGAUCCAGCCAUACCGCGUGGGUGAAGAAGGCCUUCGGGUUGUAAAGCCCUUUUGUUGGGAAAGAAAAGCAGCAGGUUAAUACCCCGCUGUUCUGACGGUACCCAAAGAAUAAGCACCGGCUAACUUCGUG
rnacentral:rRNA from 1 species